AGGACGAACGCUGGCGGCGCGCUUAACACAUGCAAGUCGAGCGAGAACCGGUCCUUCGGACUGGGAAGCGGCGAACGGGUGAGUAACACGUGGGUAAUCAACCCUUGGUACCGGGAUAGCCCGAGGAAACUCGGAUUAAUACCGGAUGGCCCAACAGCUCUUCGGGGCGGUUGGAAAGGUAGCUUCGGCCUCCGACCAAGGACGAGCCCGCGGCGGAUUAGCUUGUUGGCGGGGUAAUGGCCCACCAAGGCGACGAUCCGUAGCUGGUCUGAGAGGACGAUCAGCCACACUGGAACUGAGACACGGUCCAGACACCUACGGGUGGCAGCAGUCGAGAAUUUUUCUCAAUGGGGGAAACCCUGAAGGAGCGACGCCGCGUGGAGGAUGAAGGCUUUCGGGUUGUAAACUCCUGUCAUUUGGGAACAAGUCUUACGUUAACUGCGUGGAGAUUUGAUAGUACCGAAAGAGGAAGAGACGGCUAACUCUGUGCCAGCAGCCG
rnacentral:rRNA from 1 species